rnacentral:rRNA from 1 species
GACGAACGCUGGCGGCGUGCUUAACACAUGCAAGUCGAACGGAAAGGCCCUGCUUUUGUGGGGUGCUCGAGUGGCGAACGGGUGAGUAACACGUGAGUAACCUGCCCUUGACUUUGGGAUAACUUCAGGAAACUGGGGCUAAUACCGGAUAGGAGCUCCUGCUGCAUGGUGGGGGUUGGAAAGUUUCGGCGGUUGGGGAUGGGCUCGCGGCUUAUCAGCUUGUUGGUGGGGUAGUGGCUUACCAAGGCUUUGACGGGUAGCCGGCCUGAGAGGGUGACCGGUCACACGGGAACGGAGACGCGGUGCAGACUGGUACGGUGGGAAACAGUGGGAAAUAGGGGACAAGGGGCGAAAGCCUGAGCCAGCCAGGGCGCGUGGGUGAAGAGGUUCUUCGGAUUGGAGAGCGCGGGAGGGUGGGAGGGAGGGGAGGAAGUUAAAAACGGCCGGUUUUGACGGGAACAACAGAAGAAGCACCGGCUAACGACGUG